CAGGGGCCAGAUGUGUCACAUGCUGGCCACACCCACGCCUGGUUUAGUGAAGAGGGGGAAGUCCUGAUAUGUCCUGUGAUGCCGCCAUGACAAUAUUGUUUCCUAAUCCUAUGUAUGCUGGAUUAUACGAACACUGGGAUAGUAAAGCCAUUGUUUCAGUGUUAAAACUUGGCCUUCUAAAUCCAUCCCAAUCAGAAGGAUUCUUCAAGCAUAUGAAUGUGAAAUGUUAAUCGUGUCCCUUCAAUAUUGUGAUAGCUAGAUUAAAAUCCAGGAUUGAAUGGCAGAUGAUCAACAGUGCAAUAUCCUUUUGGUUGGUUACAUUUUUAUUACAAUGACCUGCAUAGUACAGACAGUGAUUUCACCAGACAUAUGGAUUGAAAGCAGAAGUCUGAAAACCCAGAGAUGCCCGAAUCUCUGUUCCCCAUAAAAUUGUGAGAAGAUGAUUCUCAGAAGAAGAAAGAAGAAGAAAAAAACUGUCCAUAAACAUUUGGGAAUGAAACUAAUAUGUUCCUUUCAGAUCAUCCCUUCCAGAAGGAACUCUACAUAUGUUUUGAAAUCUAAGUUUCUAUUCAAGCAAGAAAUAGAUAACGUUUUCUGUCAGACUGACUUUAAGAUCUUCAUGCAUAUGAUUUAUAACAGUUGCUUUUGUUUUGUUCUUCCUGUUUUCCCCUUUUACCAAAUACAGAGUUCUAUGUAAUGUCUUAUUAAUAACAUUGCACAGUUAUAUGCAAUCACUUUUGAAUAACCUUCAAGUUCCAUAUCUCUGUUCCGCAAGAAUAAUCUCAUGACUGGAGGCAGGACGUUCUAUUCUCCCAUAUCAUAGGAUAUUCCCAGGUACUCUACAUUCCUAGAAACCAAAGCACUAUCAAUUUCAGUUUUUAAGAGCAGUGAUUCAGUGAUGGUGGCUCAAGGCAACAUGGUGCCCUAGGCCAUAUUGACUGAUGGCACCACCUGCUACCAACGUAAGCAUUAGCAUUUUUUGGAAUGACCCAGAAGGAAGGGUGUGUUAGAAUAGUUUUUAGUUAGGUUGUAGAGGUCAAUGUGAUCUUUCAAUGUCCUAGCAGCUACAAUUAAGCCAGAUUUCUUUUGUUAAGAAAACUUUAAUUGUUUAUUUAAAGUCAAUAAACUAUUUACAUUUUAAAUCACAGAA